rnacentral:rRNA from 1 species
CCUACGGGUGGCAGCAGUAGGGAAUAUUGCGCAAUGGGGGAAACUCUGACGCAGCAACGCCGCGUGAAGGAUGAAGGUUUUAGGAUUGUAAACUCCUGUUGUUAGAGAUGAUUAUUACGGGUACUAACGAAUAAGCACCGGCUAACUACGUGCCAGCAGCCGCCGGAAUACGGAGGGUGCAAGCGUUUGUCGGAAUCACUGGGCGUAAAGAGAGAGUAGGCGGGGUAAUAAGUCAGAUGUGAAAUCCUGUCGCUUAACUACAGAACUGCAUUUGAAACUGUUACUCUGGAGUGUGGGAGAGGUAGGUGGAAUUCUUGGUGUAGGGGUAGAAUCCGUAGAGAUCAAGAGGAAUACUCAUGGCGAAGGCGACUUGCUGGAACAUUACUGACGCUUAUGCUCGAAAGCGUGGGGAGCAAACAGGAUUAGAUACCCUUGUAGUC